rnacentral:rRNA from 1 species
CCUACGGGAGGCAGCAGUGAGGAAUAUUGGUCAAUGGCCGGAAGGCUGAACCAGCCAUGCCGCGUGAAGGUCAGUGCCCUAUGGGCGUUAAACUUCUUUUGUGCGGGAGCAAUAAUGGUCACGUGUGGCCAGACGAGAGUACCGUACGAAUAAGCAUCGGCUAACUCCGUGCCAGCAGCCGCGGUAAUACGGGGGAUGCAAGCGUUAUCCGGCUUUAUUGGGUUUAAAGGGUGCGUAGGCUGUGAGGUAAGUCAGCGGUGAAAUGCCCCCGCUCAACGGGGUGAAGUGCCAUUGAUACUGGCUGGCUGGAAUGCGGAUGCCGUGGGAGGAAUGUGUGGUGUAGCGGUGAAAUGCAUAGAUAUCACACAGAACACCGAUUGCGAAGGCAUCUCACGAAGCCGCGAUUGACGCUGAUGCACGAAAGCGUGGGUAUCAAACAGGAUUAGAUACCCCUGUAGUC